UACGAAGGGGGCUAGCGUUGCUCGGAUUUACUGGGCGUAAAGCGCACGUAGGCGGAUCGUUAAGUCAGGGGUGAAAUCCUGGAGCUCAACUCCAGAACUGCCUUCGAUACUGGCGAUCUUGAGUCCGGAAGAGGUGAGUGGAACUGCGAGUGUAGAGGUGAAAUUCGUAGAUAUUAGGAAGAACACCAGUGGCGAAGGCGGCUCACUGGUCCGAUACUGACGCUGAGGUGCGAAAGCGUGGGGAGCAAACAGG
rnacentral:rRNA from 1 species